rnacentral:ncRNA from 1 species
AUAUUAAGAGAUAAAAACACGAUCCGGUUGGUAGUCCGGAUGCAGGAGUAUUCCUGUCAGUAACCUGCCCUCCUGGGGUUGUCCCUUCUCUUUAUAAUCAAA